GAGUGUGAUGAAAAGUGAAGGAUUUGACUGUAUGUAAUUGAACUUAAAAAUUUUUUUCCCAGUUUUAUUGAGAUAUAAUUGACAUACAGUACGUAUAAGGUGAAGUAUACAGCAUAAUGACUUGACUUGUAAUUGGACUUUGACACUUUUGAGAAUGUCGUUAUUAAAACUUGACUAAUAUAGCUUACUUUUGUCAUCGGACCUUAAAUUCAUAAACCUUGAUUUAAGAUAGGUUUUGAUACUACACUGAAGAAGAAAAGAUUGCUAUUUUGAGGUCAUUAGACGUGAGCUACUUGAACAGAAGAAGAAUGAGUCUCCUAGGACAGUUAAAGCAGAGGAUAUUGUUUACAUCAGCGUGGGACAGAAUGAACCACUGCCCAAAACUAGAAUGCAGUUGAUUGAUUCAUCCUCACUAACAAUAAGAAUGGAUGCUGUUUAACUAAAAGCUGCCAUUCUAGAAUCCAUGGACCCACUUAUUAUCCUCCACUAGGACUGUGAUAAUCUAAGAAAGCAGCUUGGCUUGACUUGUGAGAGCGUCUGUGGCCUACUGAAGAGUGGAGAACAUCAAGGAUGUGUUAAGGAUGCCUGCUCUUGAGUAAAUUAUGGGCAAAACUUGUCAAGGCUUAAGUCUUCUUUGUAGAGUGGCGCUGUGCCCUCAGAAGUCAGCAUCUCACAGAUAAUCAGAGUACAUAGAGAGCCACAGAUCAAAUGGUACAGUAAAACAGAAAACCCAUAACCACCUGGAAAACUCUAAUUCCUGUCUGACAGUUCAGAAGAGUCGAAGAUGUUGGAAAAGGGAGGAAAAAAUGAUCAUGGCCAGAAAGACGAAGCAGAUGCCUCAACUGCCAUCUUACAAUCUACCACCACAUGCCUCCACUCUUGUAUCCCUGCUCCAAAUCCAGUGAGGACUUGGUAAUAUACAAGCAGCUGGUGGAGAAUAACCAAAAGAGUGGAAAAGGGGGAUAACCCCAGGGAAUGGAGCUAGAGACUAAGUAGUGGUGUGUUGUGGUGAGGGCACAACUAAAAAGACUCCUCACAUCUUUAACCAUCAUAACCUAGUUGACAGACAUUGCAGGAUGGGCAGGGAGCCAGCAGCGGUUGUGAGGUAGUUGCCAGCUUUAUUUACCAUCAACUGAAUUGAUAUUGUGCUCUGUGAUUUAAACAUAUUAACAUAAGUGUAUAAUAAUAGCUGUUCUAUAUUUCAACUAUUCCAUAAAUAUUCAGAAAGGAUAAUACAUCAACACUGUCUAUACAACAACCUUCUCUCAGCAAGCAUUUACACUCAUUGUCUACUGUAUUUCUGGCCCUAUGUAGGGACUGAGUAAACAGAAAUGACUAAGACAUGGUCCCUGUCCUCAAAGAAGACAACGUAAUGGUGUACUUUCUUCUGAAAUAUGCUGAUAUUGUUACCAUACCAGAAUCAUGGUUAUGGUUGGUUAAACACAUUGGUUGAAUGUAGUCAUUUUUUUGGUUGAACCAACAGAAGUUGAGCCUCUUUAGUCAGAGGAUAAGUUUUAGAUGAGGCGGGACCUGAGGGAAGGAUUUGAAUACAUCAAAGGGAGAAAGGGCAUUCCACGUGGAUGGAAAUAUGGAAGGGAGAAAGAAUCUAGUUUUUAGAAGACAGCAUGGCAUCUGCCUGACAAGCAGUCAAGGUCAUUCUCUGAAAUCAAGUGGGAGAAAAGGGGAUUUCUGCAUUGCUUAAUGUGUAAAUAAAGUCUUUGGAAAGAGACCUGGCCGCUGAAACCAGGAGAUCUGGAUUUAGUUUUGUAAUCUUAAGCCAACCAGUCUUAAUCUAGCAAGUAUUAAUUCUCUAAUUCAUAGAAUGAGGGCAAAAACACAUAUUUGUCUAUGCAUAUAUUUGUCUAAUGCAUAUCUUCAUCACAGAAGGGUUUCUAGACUGAAUAAGAACAUAAAGCAAAUUGCUUUAAGCUCUUGGAAGAAAGAUGCUCUUCAAAUCUAGGGAAUUAUAUUAAGAUUUUAUAUUCAUUCACUUCUAUAUGUGGUUUUGCUAAAAGAGAAAGAUUAGUUUGAAGUUUAUCCUGCUGUUUUGGUAAAAUCGGUAAAAAUAUCUUCCUGAUAUUUUUCUGAGCAUAAGGUAAAACUUAUUGUCCUCAGCUAAGUAGAUUACCAGCUAUUUUCUUUGAACACCCAGAGCUCACAAGUAGCAUCUGUCUUAUUCAUAUAUAACCUAAAAAAUAACAUGUAAACUUUUAAAUUUAAAGAUAAGUUAAAUGCAUGAAACCAUUUUUAGUUCCAAAUUUGUUUUUUCCUUUCUGUGUAGUAUAAACUGAAUCAUUCUUAAUGUUAAUUUUAGCAGCUUCCCAAAAGGUUAAUACAAACAAGUGUCUUCCAAGUAUAUAUUUUAGUUGUCUUGUUUUGUUUUGUUGCAAACCUACUAACUUACUUCUCUACUACUCAACUGCAUUUGAACAAUCAUAGACACUUCUUCAUUCUUUUCUACAGCUAACUAAUGCUCAACUGUCAACUGCCUCUUAAAAUCUAAGGAAGAUUGGAUUCAAUCUUUAUUUAAUGUUUAGUGGAAAGUCCAGUGCAAGAAGGAAUGUCCUAUUUGAGAUUUUUGCCUCUUUCAAAGUAGGUCAGCUUAUGAGUCAUUUUGGUACCCUGUUCAAGCUGCCCCUCUUCCAUCAUAUUGUCCUAGAGAUGGAACUCAUUUUGCUUACCUGCUGUCAUAGAUAAACUUCUCACAAAAGACUUUUUGGUGUUAGCCAAGUUUAAUGGUACUUGGGGAAAUGGACAGGAUCAGCAACGCAGCAUUGUAAACAUAUAAAUUUCAUAUUAAAUAUCCCAGUUCUUUAAAAAAUGUUCAUUUGUAAGGGUUUUCUGAAAAUCAGUC